AGCAGGGGCUCGGAAACUGCGCCCCGGAGCGGAGAGAGUUAGCUAACUCCUUGCGGGGCCUGGGGCACCCACGUCCACCGCGGAGCCACCUGUGAGCCUGCGGUGCUGCAGCGGGAUGCGCGCAACCGGAUCCGGGGACAACGACCACUGCGGCCACCGGACCUGGACACUGGCGGGGACUAGGUCGCCCGCACUUACCGGGAACCGCCAGGAGAACGCGAACGCGGCGGGGGGAGGGGGGUGGGGGGGGCCGAGCGCGACCCUCCGCUCCGGUCCGCUGCCUUCUCUGGCCCUCCGCCUCCCUGGUCCGAGGCCCGGUCUCUGGCUCCGGCUCGCGCUCGCCUCCGCUCUUGCCGGCCAGGGCUGGGCUCGGGAGGAGACUGAGCCUCAGCGAGCGCCGCGCGCCGCCUCUGGUGCUGCCCGGCCCCCGCCGGCCCCUCCCUCUCGUCUCUGCGCGGGGAGCGUGGCCGCAGCGCGCUCAGCUCCCGCGCCCUCCGCCCCACGCCUCCCGGGCGCAGAGGCUACGCCGGCAGCCGUAUCUUAGGAGAUUUCUCCGCAGUGGGGACGGGGGUCAGGAUUUGCAGGCGAGCAAGGACAGAGAGGAGAAAUCGCACAGACUGUCAGCACAGAGCCUGACACAGGGCUUGAACCCACAAACCACGAGAUCAUGACCUGAGCCGAAGUCAGACACUUAACCAACUGAGCCAACCAGGCGCCCCAUGAGGAAGCAUGAAUUUUUGGUGGCAUCUACCUUUCUCUGCCCCACUACAGUGUACCAGUGGAAUCAAGCAUAAUGGCAAGCCCAUAGUAGGCACUCAAGCUCACAUUCACAGUCCUAGAAUGCCAGAACUUGGAAGACUCCAUGUUAAGCCUUCUUUGUAAUUACUGCUGAGGAGACUGAGACCCAAGGAGCCAAGUCAUGUUUGGGGUCCGAGACUGGGAGAACCAUGACCUCGGUGAAACCAUUUUGCAAAGCCACUGGUGAGCCUCUCCAUGUGAGAAGAAUGAACUCUUAGCUACCCUUCUGUUUGUAUUUCUUUGUUUGAAUUUGCCAUCAUACGAACAAUUAGUUAUCAGUCAAAAUAUGCUAUGUCUAACAUCUUUCUUUCCAUUUCUAAAUGUAAAAAAUUAAACUUCUCCUUUCUGAAAGCCUAAAAAUCUGUAACCGGUGAAAACUUAACACUUUUUUUCUGAAGUACAUUAAAAGAAGCAUAG